UAGCUGGACUUGUAAAGGCUUUACCACACUCAUAACAUUCAAAGGGUUUCUCUCCAGUGUGAGUUCUCUCAUGU